rnacentral:rRNA from 1 species
GCCGAGACGGCGCGGGAUGGGGUCGCGGCCCAUUAGGUAGACGGCGGGGUAACGGCCCACCGUGCCCGCGAUGGGUAGCCGGACUGAGAGGUCGACCGGCCACAUUGGGACUGAGAUACGGCCCAGACUCCUACGGGAGGCAGCAGUGGGGAAUUUUGCGCAAUGGGGGGAACCCUGACGCAGCAACGCCGCGUGCGGGACGAAGGCCCUCGGGUUGUAAACCGCUUUCAGCAGGGAAGAUCCAAGACGGUACCUGCAGAAGAAGCUCCGGCUAACUACGUGCCAGCAGCCGCGGUAAUACGUAGGGGGCGAGCGUUAUCCGGAUUCAUUGGGCGUAAAGCGCGCGUAGGCGGCCGCCUAAGCGGGACCUCUAACCCCGGGGCUCAACCCCGGGCCGGGUCCCGGACUGGGCGGCUCGAGUGCGGUAGAGGAGAGCGGAAUUCCCGGUGUAGCGGUGGAAUGCGCAGAUAUCGGGAAGAACACCGAUGGCGAAGGCAGCUCUCUGGGCCGUCACUGACGCUGAGGCGCGAAAGCUGGGGGAGCGAACAGGAUUAGAUACCCUGGUAGUCCCAGCCGUAAACG